rnacentral:rRNA from 1 species
UACGUAGGGCGCAAGCGUUAUCCGGAAUUAUUGGGCGUAAAGAGCUCGUAGGCGGUUUGUCGCGUCUGCCGUGAAAGUCCGGGGCUCAACUCCGGAUCUGCGGUGGGUACGGGCAGACUAGAGUGAUGUAGGGGAGACUGGAAUUCCUGGUGUAGCGGUGAAAUGCGUAGAUAUCGGGAGGAACAUCGAUGGCGAAGGCAAUCACCUGGGCCUGGACUGACACUGUGACACGAAAGCGUGGGUAGCAAACAGG